CCUACGUGAGUCAGCAGUGAGGAAUAUUGGUCAAUGGCCGGAAGGCUGAACCAGCCAAGCCGCGUGAAGGACGAAGGUGCCAAGCAUUGUAAACUUCUUUUGUCAAGGGACAAAAUCAGGCUCGAGAGCCUGACCGAGGGUACUUGAAGAAAAAGCAUCGGCUAACUCCGUGCCAGCAGCCGCGGUAAUACGGAGGAUGCGAGCGUUAUCCGGAUUUAUUGGGUUUAAAGGGUGCGUAGGCGUGCUGUUAAGUCAGCGGUAAAAGCCCGGGGCUCAACCCCGGCGAGCCGUUGAAACUGGCUGUAUUGAGAUGUCGAGAGGUAUGCGGAAUGCGCAGUGUAGCGGUGAAAUGCGUAGAUAUUGCGCAGAACUCCGAUUGCGAAGGCAGCAUACCGGCGGCGAUCUGACGCUGAGGCACGAAAGCGUGGGUAUCGAACAGGAUUAGAUACCCCUGUAGUC
rnacentral:rRNA from 1 species